ACGAACGCUGGCGGCGUGCUUAACCCAUGCAAGUCGAACGGAAAGGCCCUGCUUUUGUGGGGUGCUCGAGUGGCGAACGGGUGAGUAACACGUGAGUAACCUGCCCUUGACUUUGGGAUAACUUCAGGAAACUGGGGCUAAUACCGGAUAGGAGCUCCUGCUGCAGGGUGGGGGUUGGAAAGUUUCGGCGGUUGGGGAUGGACUCGCGGCUUAUCAGCUUGUUGGUGGGGUAGUGGCUUACCAAGGCUUUGACGGGUAGCCGGCCUGAGAGGGUGACCGGCCACAUUGGGACUGAGAUACGGCCCAGACUCCUACGGGAGGCAGCAGUGGGGAAUAUUGCACAAUGGGCGGAAGCCUGAUGCAGCAACGCCGCGUGCGGGAUGACGGCCUUCGGGUUGUAAACCGCUUUCGCCUGUGACGAAGCGUGAGUGACGGUAAUGGGUAAAGAAGCACCGGCUAACUACGUG
rnacentral:rRNA from 1 species